rnacentral:tRNA from 1 species
GCGAGCGUAGCUCAGUUGGUAGAGCAUUAGCUUCCCAAGCUAAUGGCCGCGGGUUCGAGUCCCGUCGCUCGCU